rnacentral:lncRNA from 1 species
CACUGGGCAAGUUACCGCUUCUCUCCGUUUCCCAGUAACUUCAUCCAAUACUUCAAAGGCUGUUGUGGGAAUAAUUGAGUUAAUAUAUGCAAAGUACUUAAACAGCGCCUAAAACCAUUAGAAUGACACAAGUACCUGAUGUUAUUAUGUAAUUUCGCAAGUCUACAUUUGAAAUUUAAAUACUGUCUUUAUGUAGGAUCUAAUUACUUACAAGCGUCCCUUUGGCUGUGUCCUGUGAAAUUUCAUUUUUAAAACCUCUGAUGGUAACAAAAUUGCUUUGAAUAAUCUCUCUUAAAUAUUCUGGUAUCUGUAAGGAUCCACAUUUCCAAAGACAUUUUUAAUUCAAAAUGCUUCCUACCUUCAGAAGAAUACCAGAUUUUCUAGAAAUUUUAAAAGUAAGAUUCUGAAUUCAAGGUCUCUAUUGCAUGUCAGUUUUCUACUAACUAUGGACUAUGCUCACAAGAAAAGUGGUGGAGAAAGAGAAAGUACACCCAAGAUGCUUCUUUUCAGCUCUUCUUUCCUUCCUUUUUAUAAAGCAUAUUAUUAUUAUUAUUGUUAUUUAGAGACAGGGUCUCACUCUUUCACCCAGGCUGGAGUGUAGUGGCAUAAUCAUGGUUCACUGCAUCCUCCAACUCCUGAGCUCAAGCAAUUCUCAGGUCUCAGCCCCUCAAGUAGCUGGGACUACAGGUGCACACCACCAUGCCUUGCUUCUUCUUCUUCUUCUUAUUUUUUUUUAUAGAGAGGGAUUUUCACUUUGUUGCCCAGGCUGGUAUUGAACUCCUUGCUUCAAGUUAUACUUCCGCCUUGAUUCCCAAAGUGCUGGGAUUAUAGGCAUGGGCCAACUGCACCCACCAAAUGUUAUUUUUAGUCCAAGGUAGUACGAUUUCUCUCCUUCCUUCCAUCUUUUCCUCCUUAUUUUGUCUUGAACCCAUCUACUUAAUAAAAAUAAAGACACGUUUCUAGGCCUUACAAAGCCUCCCUUCUUUACCAGAAAAUUUAAAUACUUAGAAAAAGUAAAAACCACAAAGACCA